CGGAGCAUCUUGUGCCGACGGCCGCGCGAUGUGGGGCGCCCUGGUCUCAGCUGCCGAGCGGGCACCCCUUGUUCAGUGAAUUGCAGGGGCCCAGAGUGUCUCAGGGAGUGUGGACUCUAGACGGGGGAUCAUCCUGGCCCAGACUGACAGGGGUGUCUGGCCUCCGGGAGAAGGCUUGGGUCUCCUUCCUGCCAGGCAAGGCUGUGGUGGAGCAGUGCUCGUCUUACUGAUAAGAGCGUAAGGUGGAUACCCUGCCAGGAAGAGCAAUUUGGGUGUCAACAUCCUCACAAACAGAAACACCCAUAAAGAGUAACGCAGCUUCUAAGAAGCAGUCUUGGGGAAGGAAACCAGAAUGCAGACAACAGUGCAAGCACAGAAGUGUUGACCGCAUGAUGUAUGUGGACUAUGCUGUCCUGACCUCCAGCCUUCCAAGCAGCAGCUCAGAGGGAGCUCUUAAUCAAUGCGUCCAUCUCGGUCCACUUGAGAGUUUUCAAGAGCUUUUAAGAUUUAAAGGAUAAGAUUUAAACAAUGUAUCGGGGCCUCCCUGGUGGCGCAAGGGGUUAAGACGCAACCUAUAAGGCUGUGUACAGCCACUGCAGCGUGAGUUCCAUCCCUGGCCAGGGAGCUACCCACAUGGCUCAGCAGACCUCUCCUGUCUCGCCCGCUGCUCCCCUCAGCAGUGUAGUUUGGUCAGUCUGCCUGUUCUGUUCCCCACUCUGUGUCUGGUGAAUCCUCUCACCCUCUGCACCUCUGGCCUAUACCUCAGUUCUUGUAUGCAUAAAUAAAUAAAAUAAAUCCUUAAGAAAAAAAAAAUAAAUCAUGCAAAAUUUUUCUUCCAUUAAA